UGAACGGGAGCUUCGCGCCCGUGCCGCCCA
rnacentral:sRNA from 1 species